rnacentral:tRNA from 1 species
GCAGUCGUGGCCGAGUGGUUGUAAGGCGAUGGACUAGAAAUCCAUUGGGAUCUUCCCGCGCAGGUUCGAAUCCUGCCGACUGCG